rnacentral:rRNA from 1 species
GGGUUGUGAGGUUAAGCGACUAAGCGUACACGGUGGAUGCCCUGGCAGUCAGAGGCGAUGAAGGACGUGCUAAUCUGCGAUAAGCGUCGGUAAGGUGAUAUGAACCGUUAUAACCGGCGAUUUCCGAAUGGGGAAACCCAGUGUGUUUCGACACACUAUCAUUAACUGAAUCCAUAGGUUAAUGAGGCGAACCGGGGGAACUGAAACAUCUAAGUACCCCGAGGAAAAGAAAUCAACCGAGAUUCCCCCAGUAGCGGCGAGCGAACGGGGAGCAGCCCAGAGCCUGAAUCAGUAUGUGUGUUAGUGGAAGCGUCUGGAAAGGCGCGCGAUACAGGGUGACAGCCCCGUACACAAAAAUGCACAUGCUGUGAGCUCGAUGAGUAGGGCGGGACACGUGGUAUCCUGUCUGAAUAUGGGGGGACCAUCCUCCAAGGCUAAAUACUCCUGACUGACCGAUAGUGAACCAGUACCGUGAGGGAAAGGCGAAAAGAACCCCGGCGAGGGGAGUGAAAAAGAACCUGAAACCGUGUACGUACAAGCAGUGGGAGCACGCUUAGGCGUGUGACUGCGUACCUUUUGUAUAAUGGGUCAGCGACUUAUAUUCUGUAGCAAGGUUAACCGAAUAGGGGAGCCGAAGGGAAACCGAGUCUUAACUGGGCGUUAAGUUGCAGGGUAUAGACCCGAAACCCGGUGAUCUAGCCAUGGGCAGGUUGAAGGUUGGGUAACACUAACUGGAGGACCGAACCGACUAAUGUUGAAAAAUUAGCGGAUGACUUGUGGCUGGGGGUGAAAGGCCAAUCAAACCGGGAGAUAGCUGGUUCUCCCCGAAAGCUAUUUAGGUAGCGCCUCGUGAAUUCAUCUCCGGGGGUAGAGCACUGUUUCGGCAACAUCCCGACUUACCAACCCGAUGCAAACUGCGAAUACCGGAGAAUGUUAUCACGGGAGACACACGGCGGGUGCUAACGUCCGUCGUGAAGAGGGAAACAACCCAGACCGCCAGCUAAGGUCCCAAAGUCAUGGUUAAGUGGGAAACGAUGUGGGAAGGCCCAGACAGCCAGGAUGUUGGCUUAGAAGCAGCCAUCAUUUAAAGAAAGCGUAAUAGCUCACUGGUCGAGUCGGCCUGCGCGGAAGAUGUAACGGGGCUAAACCAUGCACCGAAGCUGCGGCAGCGACACUAUGUGUUGUUGGGUAGGGGAGCGUUCUGUAAGCCUGUGAAGGUGUACUGUGAGGUAUGCUGGAGGUAUCAGAAGUGCGAAUGCUGACAUAAGUAACGAUAAAGCGGGUGAAAAGCCCGCUCGCCGGAAGACCAAGGGUUCCUGUCCAACGUUAAUCGGGGCAGGGUGAGUCGACCCCUAAGGCGAGGCCGAAAGGCGUAGUCGAUGGGAAACAGGUUAAUAUUCCUGUACUUGGUGUUACUGCGAAGGGGGGACGGAGAAGGCUAUGUUGGCCGGGCGACGGUUGUCCCGGUUUAAGCGUGUAGGCUGGUUUUCCAGGCAAAUCCGGAAAAUCAAGGCUGAGGCGUGAUGACGAGGCACUACGGUGCUGAAGCAACAAAUGCCCUGCUUCCAGGAAAAGCCUCUAAGCAUCAGGUAACAUCAAAUCGUACCCCAAACCGACACAGGUGGUCAGGUAGAGAAUACCAAGGCGCUUGAGAGAACUCGGGUGAAGGAACUAGGCAAAAUGGUGCCGUAACUUCGGGAGAAGGCACGCUGAUAUGUAGGUGAAGUCCCUCGCGGAUGGAGCUGAAAUCAGUCGAAGAUACCAGCUGGCUGCAACUGUUUAUUAAAAACACAGCACUGUGCAAACACGAAAGUGGACGUAUACGGUGUGACGCCUGCCCGGUGCCGGAAGGUUAAUUGAUGGGGUUAGCCGCAAGGCGAAGCUCUUGAUCGAAGCCCCGGUAAACGGCGGCCGUAACUAUAACGGUCCUAAGGUAGCGAAAUUCCUUGUCGGGUAAGUUCCGACCUGCACGAAUGGCGUAAUGAUGGCCAGGCUGUCUCCACCCGAGACUCAGUGAAAUUGAACUCGCUGUGAAGAUGCAGUGUACCCGCGGCAAGACGGAAAGACCCCGUGAACCUUUACUAUAGCUUGACACUGAACAUUGAGCCUUGAUGUGUAGGAUAGGUGGGAGGCUUGGAAGUGUGGACGCCAGUCUGCAUGGAGCCGACCUUGAAAUACCACCCUUUAAUGUUUGAUGUUCUAACGUUGACCCGUAAUCCGGGUUGCGGACAGUGUCUGGUGGGUAGUUUGACUGGGGCGGUCUCCUCCUAAAGAGUAACGGAGGAGCACGAAGGUUGGCUAAUCCUGGUCGGACAUCAGGAGGUUAGUGCAAUGGCAUAAGCCAGCUUGACUGCGAGCGUGACGGCGCGAGCAGGUGCGAAAGCAGGUCAUAGUGAUCCGGUGGUUCUGAAUGGAAGGGCCAUCGCUCAACGGAUAAAAGGUACUCCGGGGAUAACAGGCUGAUACCGCCCAAGAGUUCAUAUCGACGGCGGUGUUUGGCACCUCGAUGUCGGCUCAUCACAUCCUGGGGCUGAAGUAGGUCCCAAGGGUAUGGCUGUUCGCCAUUUAAAGUGGUACGCGAGCUGGGUUUAGAACGUCGUGAGACAGUUCGGUCCCUAUCUGCCGUGGGCGCUGGAGAACUGAGGGGGGCUGCUCCUAGUACGAGAGGACCGGAGUGGACGCAUCACUGGUGUUCGGGUUGUCAUGCCAAUGGCACUGCCCGGUAGCUAAAUGCGGAAGAGAUAAGUGCUGAAAGCAUCUAAGCACGAAACUUGCCCCGAGAUGAGUUCUCCCUGACUCCUUGAGAGUCCUGAAGGAACGUUGAAGACGACGACGUUGAUAGGCCGGGUGUGUAAGCGCAGCGAUGCGUUGAGCUAACCGGUACUAAUGAACCGUGAGGCUUAACCUUACAACGCCGAAGGUGUUU